UACAGAGGUCUCGAGCGUUGUUCGGAUUCAUUGGGCGUAAAGGGUGCGUAGGUGGUCGUGUAAGUCGGAUGUGAAAUCCCGGGGCUCAACCCCGGAACUGCAUUCGAUACUGCUCGGCUUGAGUACUGGAAAGGAGAUCGGAAUUUACGGUGUAGCAGUGAAAUGCGUAGAUAUCGUAAGGAAGACCAGUGGCGAAGGCGGAUCUCUGGACAGUUACUGACACUGAGGCACGAAGGCCAGGGGAGCAAACGGG
rnacentral:rRNA from 1 species